rnacentral:rRNA from 1 species
GGAUGAACGCUAGGCGGCAGGACUUAAUACAUGCAAGUCGAGGGGCAGCGCAGUGUAGCAAUACAUGGGCGGCGACCGGCAAACGGGUGCGGAACACGUACGCAAUCUACCCAAAACUGAUGAAUAGCCCUCCGAAAGGAGGAUUAAUACAUCGUAACUUAAUGAAGUGGCAUCACCUUAUUAAUAUAGCUCCGGCGGUUUUGGAUGAGCGUGCGCCUGANAGGUAGUUGGCGGGGUAACGGCCCACCAAGCCUGCGAUCAGUACUGGUGUGAGAGCACGACCAGUCACACGGGCACUGAGACAC